rnacentral:lncRNA from 1 species
GCCGGACGCAGGCGUGCCUGCGCAGUGCGCGGAGGAGUGCUGUUCGUGUGUUCGAGUCCCUGGGUUGCUUCCUGGGGUCUGUGGUGCUGGGUGUGCUAUCUGCGUGUGAUUCUCUAGCGAGAGAUUGUGGGCGAGUGACCGAGUGGGCAAGGGGCCGUCACUGUGUGUGCGUGAUUUUGACAGUGUGUGGUGGUAGCUUCUGACUCCGCGUGGGUCGUUGAAUGUAUGACUGGGACCGUUUAGCGGUGGAUACACAACUGUGUGCGGCUGUGGAAGAUUGCCUCAUCCGUUACGUUCCCAUUUCCGUGGAACAACAGUUUUACCAGAAGGUUUCGAAGGAACCUUAAAGUUUGGAAGCGUAAGAGUUUAUCUGGCGGCUUUGGUGUCAUCAAAUGUGAGAAGCCCUGGACUUUACACAUCCCGAGCCAGUGUGAUCCAGUAUGAUUGGGAGUCCGAGUGCCAGAUGCCGGUCAGGACCUGUUAUGCUGGGUCUCAGAAUGCGGAAACUCUCCCUGUCCGAGGUGGAACAGUUUGUCCUUGAAGAUGGGAGCCUCACUGUAUUGCCCAGGCUGGUCUUGAACUCCGGAGCUCAAGUGAUCGUCUUGCUUCAGCCUUGCAAAAUGAUGGUGAAGCUGCAUCAUUGUCUGGGAUGGAGUCCCUGUCUGACCGGGCCAUGUUGUAUGUUCCUUGCUGUACACGUGGUUGACAAAGAAAAGGGAAGAUGGAGCUGCGAUGUUGGACAUGCCUGGCCCCCAGGACAUACAGCCCUGCCGAGCAAAUAAUGAACGUAACUCACAAACUUCCUGCUUAUCAUCAAACGCACGCAUCCACUUAUCAUCAAACACCUCGGGUGACAGAAGAAUGCAGGUCAGCUCCCUGCUGCCUUGGCAUUAUCAAUCAGCCCAGGAACCAUCCUAUAAAAUCUCCAGCAAGCCUUUGUUUCCUUGCAGUCAGCUCCUCUUCCACUGAUUCUGCCUGUUGCUCCCUGAUAACAUACUUUGAUACUGUCUUUAAUAA